CCGAGAUUAGUCAACAGGGAAAGGCCGGUCUCUUAACAAUGGUGCUGGAAAACUGGACAUGUGCAUGCAGGAGAAUGAAAACGGACUCUUCUCUCACACCAUCCACCCCACAAACCAGCACAGACUCACCAAGGACUUAAACGUGACACAGGAACCUGUGAGAUCCCUGGAAGAAGACUCAGGGACGGCCUCACCUUCCUUAUCCGUGCCCGAGUUCCUCCUCUCUUCCAUCUUCUUUCACAUGGAGCAGCAUUGUCUCAUGUUUCCCAGCGUCCUGGUCUGAAAGUGGGAUGUCCACUCGCAUUAGUGUGUGGUCGCCCUGAAGUGCACCUGCAUCCUCGAUAUGAUGCUGAGGUUGGACGUCAGGAUUGUAACACAGUUGCUUACACGUGGCUUUUGCCCUAUUUUGGACAGUCUCCUCAGCGGUGUCCUGGACAUCAGAUUGCUGGGUCAAAGUUGACGUUUUAUGGUUUUUGAGAUGUUUCUGUUGAGCAUUUUUCAAAUGACACCUUGCACCUCCCAUGAGCGUGGCUGUAACACAGGCCCCUCCUCUUCUCUGCUCAGUGCCGCCCCUUGGGAGGUCCCAGCCCUUCUCUUUGAGGUCAUUUGUCCCCUCAGGCUGUCCUGCUGUGUAGAACUGGGGGAUGCCUCCUGUGGAACUUGAGGACCGGAGGUCAGCCCAGGAAGGCAGCUUCUCAGCAGAACCUAGGCCGUGGCUGGAGCCUGGAGGCUACAGGGCCGGGGCACCUCCUGCCUGAGGCUGGGGAAGCCCCCUGCCCUACAGCCUCCACCUUCAUUUCUGGACUGAAGGUCAGAUGCCCAACCCUGGGGCCCAGGAGGAGCCCCUCCAUCAGCCGACGAGGGUCCCAGGGAGAGGCCGGUCCAGUGACUGUUCCCUAUUGUCAGGCAGAAGCAAAGUCACAAGACGACACGUCAUGAGUCAUGAGGGGCUUCUGCUGUGUAUCCAGGAGCCGUCCAGGGUGUGAACUAGAAGAGACGCCACCGCCCAUGUGGCUGCACGACUGCAGAGGGGAGAUGGCAGAUCUGGAGGGCCCCGCCUGACACCCUGAGGGGCAGAGGCUCAAGACCGAGUGAUGUACAGAGACCCCUCACCCACCACUCCCUGCCAGGUGAGAGUCCGUGUGCCAGCCAGCCACCCCCUUCCCUGUCCCAGGCAGGAAUCGCUUGAGUCCAGCACCAUCGGCGUCCAGUACCAGGAGGGAGUGAGAGGACAGCUGUCCCUUUGCUGGACAGGAGGCCCCCGAGAAGACGUGCUUCUCCUUAUGUCAAAGUACAGAUGAGCCCAGGAAAACAUGACUCGGGGAUUUGGGGACCUAGAUGAGCUGAUUUUAAGUUCACAUGGAGAAAUCACUGAACAAGAAAAUCCAGGAAAACUUGAGGAGCUGUCACCAGAGGGAUGAGCCUGACAGCAAUGAAAACACAGAGAUGACUCAGUGUGAUACUGCCGUGACCCAGAACAGCCUUUCCAAGGGAACACGUGUCCCGGGAGCCACUUACAACAAGUGACACAUGCACCCCACAGAGUCACGUGUCUCUGUGGGAAAUGUGUAAUCAGAGUCAGAGAAGAGCACGGAACAGGGAAAUGUCUGCCCUUCCGAUUUCCUGAGUGGAGGGCGCUUCCGCAAACCCGCUCUUUAAAAGACCAAACAGCAAAGGGACAUGAGGUGGAAGCUGACACCUGAGGGAGGACAGUGGCUCCUGAUGACGAGGCAUCCUAUCACCUCGCUGCUGAGAGACAUGCGGAUGAAGCUGGGAAGCCCUUCAGGCUGCACCUGUCACCCCAUGGCCUGGUGGAAUGGCAGCACCCCCAAGUUCCGCCCACUGCCUGGCACCCUGACUGCUCUUGUCCAUAGCAGUUGGAGGCACUUGUCUCCUUUGUGAGCGGCUCUGCCGUCUCACACUGCCCACCUCGAUGUGAGUGCAGGAGGCACAACUCACACCGCAACUGGUCAGUCAG
rnacentral:lncRNA from 1 species